CGAAGGCGCGGCCCCAUUUCAGCUUUUGCGUCCUGUGGUUGAAUCUUCGCACCGCGAUGAUCGAGGCAAAAGUGGGGAGGGUUACAGGCGAUCGCACAAAAGGUUUCUGCAAGCAUGCAUGGGAGAGCAACAUUUGGGGAUACUGUCUGUAGUAUUAAUUUAUAAUGGUUUUCAGUGCUAGUCGAUAUGUAGAAAUGUAAAAAAAACUAGUUUUGUUGCCUUCUUUCCAACUAGUUCUGUCCUCUUUAACUCGGCAGCGCAUAAAAAAUGUAAUUAGAUGAAGCCAGCCCAGGACAGAUUUCAUUUUAUCAUAGGACAGACAUUAAAAAGAUGAGAUGAUGCUAUCCCAAGUGAUGCCAAAUUGGAGGCAACGGCAGGACAAAGAUGAGAAUAGAAUGCUGAUUCCGAAGCAGAUGUGUGUUGGCGUUCUAUUGCUGCGA